rnacentral:rRNA from 1 species
UACGAAGGGGGCUAGCGUUGCUCGGAAUCACUGGGCGUAAAGCGCACGUAGGCGGCUUUCUAAGUCAGGGGUGAAAUCCUGGAGCUCAACUCCAGAACUGCCUUUGAUACUGGGGAGCUCGAGUCCGGAAGAGGUGAGUGGAACUCCGAGUGUAGAGGUGAAAUUCGUAGAUAUUCGGAAGAACACCAGUGGCGAAGGCGGCUCACUGGUCCGGUACUGACGCUGAGGUGCGGAAAGCGUGGGGAGCAAACAGGG